AGAGUUUGAUCAUGGCUCAGAGCGAACGCUGGCGGCAGGCUUAACACAUGCAAGUCGAGCGGGCGUAGCAAUACGUCAGCGGCAGACGGGUGAGUAACGCGUGGGAACGUACCUUUUGGUUCGGAACAACCCAGGGAAACUUGGGCUAAUACCGGAUAAGCCCUUACGGGGAAAGAUUUAUCGCCGAAAGAUCGGCCCGCGUCUGAUUAGCUAGUUGGUGAGGUAACGGCUCACCAAGGCGACGAUCAGUAGCUGGUCUGAGAGGAUGAUCAGCCACAUUGGGACUGAGACACGGCCCAAACUCCUACGGGGGGCAGCAGUGGGGAAUAUUGGACAAUGGGCGCAAGCCUGACCCAGCCAUGCCGCGUGAGUGAUGAAGGCCCUAGGGUUGUAAAGCUCUUUUGUGCGGGAAGAUAAUGACGGUACCGCAAGAAUAAGCCCCGGCUAACUUCGUGCCAGCAGCCGCGGUA
rnacentral:rRNA from 1 species